rnacentral:miRNA from 1 species
UACUCCAGAGGGCGUCACUCA